AUUUAUUUAAUAUAUUAGUAUAUUUGACUUCCAAUCAAAAAGUUUGUUCAAGACAAAAUAAAUA
rnacentral:tRNA from 1 species